rnacentral:tRNA from 2 species
AAUUAAAUGACUGAACUGUAAGUAUUGAUCUCUUAAAUCAAAAAUAGUAAAUUAACAAUUACUUUUAAUUA